rnacentral:rRNA from 1 species
GCCUUACACAUGCAAGUCGAACGGCAGCACGGACUUCGGUCUGGUGGCGAGUGGCGAACGGGUGAGUAAUGUAUCGGAACGUGCCCAGUAGCGGGGGAUAACUACGCGAAAGCGUAGCUAAUACCGCAUACGCCCUACGGGGGAAAGCAGGGGAUCGCAAGACCUUGCACUAUUGGAGCGGCCGAUAUCGGAUUAGCUAGUUGGUGGGGUAACGGCUCACCAAGGCGACGAUCCGUAGCUGGUUUGAGAGGACGACCAGCCACACUGGGACUGAGACACGGCCCAGACUCCUACGGGAGGCAGCAGUGGGGAAUUUUGGACAAUGGGGGAAACCCUGAUCCAGCCAUCCCGCGUGUGCGAUGAAGGCCUUCGGGUUGUAAAGCACUUUUGGCAGGAAAGAAACGUCAUGGGUUAAUACCCCGUGAAACUGACGGUACCUGCAGAAUAAGCACCGGCUAACUACGUGCCAGCAGCCGCGGUAAUACGUAGGGUGCAAGCGUUAAUCGGAGUUACUGGGCGUAAAGCGUGCGCAGGCGGUUCGGAAAGAAAGAUGUGAAAUCCCAGAGCUUAACUUUGGAACUGCAUUUUUAACUACCGGGCUAGAGUGUGUCAGAGGGAGGUGGAAUUCCGCGUGUAGCAGUGAAAUGCGUAGAUAUGCGGAGGAACACCGAUGGCGAAGGCAGC